rnacentral:rRNA from 1 species
CCUACGGGAGGCAGCAGUGGGGAAUAUUGGACAAUGGGGGGAACCCUGAUCCAGCGACGCCGCGUGAGUGAAGAAGUAUUUCGGUAUGUAAAGCUCUAUCAGCAGGGAAGAGAAUGACGGUACCUGACUAAGAAGCCCCGGCUAACUACGUGCCAGCAGCCGCGGUAAUACGUAGGGGGCGAGCGUUAUCCGGAUUUACGGGGUGUAAAGGGAGCGUAGACGGCUGGUCAAGUCUGAAGUGAAAGCCCGGGGCUUAACCCCGGAACGGCUUUGGAAACUGAGCAGCUAGGGUGCUGGAGAGGAAAGGGAAAUCCCUGUGUAGCGGUGAAAUGCGUAGAUAUUAGGAGGAACACCGGUGGCGAAGGCGGCUUACUGGACUGUAACUGACGUUGAGGCUCGAAAGCGUGGGGAGCAAACAGGAUUAGAUACCCGUGUAGUC